rnacentral:misc_RNA from 1 species
ACUGGAUCCAAGGUUCAAGAUGAAGUUGGUGGAGUAUUACUAUCCUCAGAUUUAUGAUUCUGAUGCGCCAAAUCAGAUCAAAGCAAUAUCUGAUGCCAUAAGGGAGCUUUCCAAUGAGUAUGCUAUGGGAUCAUCUUCACUUGAUCCAGAUACGGCUGGUGCUUCUGGCAGCUUAGCCAGUACCACUAUUGGCACAAGGGACAGACUUAGGGGUUUCGACAAGUUUCUCCAUGAAACUUCACACAACCACAACAUGACAUCAGAUCUUGACAAAUACUUGGAAGAGCCAGUCUUUCCACGCAAUUAUGAUUUCAGCAUAUUGAAUUGGUGGAAGGUUCACACACCAAGGUACCCUAUAUUAUCGAUGAUGGCACGUGAUAUCUUGGGAGUUCCUGCAUCCACUCUUGGACCAGAGUUGGCAUUCAAUAACAGAGGCAGGGUGCUUGAUUAUCAUCGCAGUUCACUGAAUCCAGAUGCUAGAGAAGCUCUGAUAUGCGGUCAAGACUGGUUGCGCAUGGAAUCUGAAGAAUAUAACUCACCUCACAUCUACACUGCUGUGCCACUCACGGUGGAAUCAAAGUAGAGCAUGCUUGUUUGAUUGGAG